GGAGUUAGCCGGUGCUUCUUCUGCGAGUAACGUCACAGAUGUAAGGUAUUAACUUACACCCUUUCCUCCUCGCUGAAAGUGCUUUACAACCCGAAGGCCUUCUUCACACACGCGGCAUGGCUGCAUCAGGGUUUCCCCCAUUGUGCAAUAUUCCCCACUGCUGCCUCCCGUAGGAGUCUGGGCCGUGUCUCAGUCCCAGUGUGGCUGAUCAUCCUCUCAGACCAGCUAGGGAUCGUCGCCUAGGUGAGCCUUUACCUCACCUACUAGCUAAUCCCACCUGGGCUUAAUCCAUCAGCGCAAGGCCCGAAGGUCCCCUGCUUUCCCCCGUAGGGCGUAUGCGGUACUUAGCAGUCGUUUCCAACUGUUAUCCCCCACAAAUGGGCAAAUUCCCAGGCAUUACUCACCCGUCCGCCGCUCGUCAUCUUCAAAAGCAAGCUUUUGAAAUGUUACCGCUCGACUUGCAUGUGUUAGUCUGCCGCCACGCGUUCAAUACUGAGCAGAUACAACUACUGA
rnacentral:rRNA from 1 species